GACGAACGCUGGAGGCGUGCUUAACACAUGCAAGUCGAACGAUGAAAUGGAGCUUGCUCCGGUGGAUUAGUGGCGAACGGGUGAGUAACACGUGAGUAACCUGCCCUUGACUCUGGGAUAACUGCGGGAAACUGUAGCUAAUACCGGAUACGACCCUCGGCGGCAUCGCCAGGGGGUGGAAAGAAUUUCGGUCAAGGAUGGACUCGCGGCCUAUCAGCUAGUUGGUGAGGUAACGGCUCACCAAGGCGACGACGGGUAGCCGGCCUGAGAGGGUGACCGGCCACACUGGGACUGAGACACGGCCCAGACUCCUACGGGAGGCAGCAGUGGGGAAUAUUGCACAAUGGGCGCAAGCCUGAUGCAGCAACGCCGCGUGAGGGAUGACGGCCUUCGGGUUGUAAACCUCUUUUAGCAGGGAAGAAGCGAAAGUGACGGUACCUGCAGAAAAAGCACCGGCUAACUACGUGCCAGCCGCCGCGGUAA
rnacentral:rRNA from 1 species